rnacentral:rRNA from 1 species
UGUAUCCAGAGUACCGCCGGACACGUGAAACCCGGUGGGAAUAUGGGGGGACCAUCCUCCAAGCCUAAAUACUACUCGGUGACCGAUAGUGAAGAAGUACUGUGAAGGAAAGGUGAAAAGUACCCCUGACGGGGAGUGAAAAAGAACCUGAAACCUUGUGUUUACAAGCACCGAAAGCUCAUCAAAGAGCGAUCGGGUACCUUUUGUAGAAUGGUCCGGCGAGUGAAUGUAACCGGCGAGGUUAAGCACUUAAGGUGUGAAGCCGCAGCGAGAGCAAGUCUGAAUAGGGCGUAUGAAGUCGGUUGUAUUCGACCCGAAACCGGGUGACCUACCCAUGGUCAGGUUGAAGUAAAGGUAAAACUUUAUGGAGGACCGAACCGACUCCCGUUGAAAUGGUAGCGGAUGAACUGUGGGUAGCGGAGAAAUUCCAAUCGAACCCGGAGAUAGCUGGUUCUCUCCGAAAUAGCUUUAGGGCUAGCCUUGAAAUAGAUUACCGGAGGUAAAGCACUGAAUUGGCUAGGGGCCGAGAGGUUACUGAACCUUAUCAAACUAAGAAUGCCGGAUAAUCGUUUUUCAGGAGUCAGACAGUGGGAGAUAAGUUUCAUUGUCAAAAGGGAAACAGCCCAGACCCACAGCUAAGGUCCCCAAGUAUAGUUAAGUGGAAAAGGAUGUGGAAUUGCACAGACAACCAGGAUGUUGGCUUAGAAGCAGCCACUCAUUAAAAGAGUGCGUAAUAGCUCACUGGUCGAGUGACUCUGCGCCGAAAAUUUAACGGGGCUAAACUAUACACCGAAGCUUGGGAUACAUCUAAUGUAUGGUAGGAGAGCGUUCUGUAUGGGGUGAAGUCGUAGCGAAAGCGGCGGUGGACUGUACAGAAGUGAGAAUGCCGGAAUAAGUAGCGAGAAUUAAGUGAGAAUCUUAAUGGCCGAAAGUCUAAGGUUUUUGGAGGAAGGUUCGUCCGCUCCAAGUAAGUCGGGAGCUAAGGUCAGGCCGAAAGGCGUAGCCGAUGCACAUACGGUUGAUAUUCCGUAACCAUCUGUAAUUUAAGCAAAGGGACACUUCAAAAGGGUGUGACCCGGGCGUUGGUUGACCCGGGCGUAAGGGACCGAAAUUAGAGUAGGGAAGCACACUUGGCUGAAGGCGAGAAAAGCUUUGCGUAUAGAAACAGAUGCCCGUACCGCAAACCGACACAGGUGGACAGGAAGAGAAUUCUAAGGCCAGCGGGAGAAGGGUAGUUAAGGAACUCGGCAAAUUGACUCCGUAACUUCGGAAUAAGGAGUGCUCGAAAGAGCCGCAGAGAAUAGGCCCAGGCGACUGUUUAGCAAAAACACAGGUCUCUGCCAAAUCGAAAGAUGAAGUAUAGGGGCUGACACCUGCCCGGUGCUGGAAGGUUAAGAGGAGAUGUGCAAGCAUUGAAUUGAAGCCCCAGUAAACGGCGGCCGUAACUAUAACGGUCCUAAGGUAGCGAAAUUCCUUGUCGGGUAAGUUCCGACCCGCACGAAUGGUGUAACGAUCUGGGCACUGUCUCAACUACCCACCCGGCGAAAUUGUAGUACCGGUGAAGAUGCCGGUUACCUGCGGCAAGACGGAAAGACCCCAUGGAGCUUUACUGUAGCCUGAUAUUGGGUUUCGGAAAUCUAUGUACAGGAUAGGCGGGAGACUGGGAAACAUGAGCGUCAGCUUGUGUGGAGUCGAUGUUGGGAUACCGCCCUUAGGUUUCUGGAAUUCUAACCUGCGGCCGUGAAUCCGGUCGGGGGACAUUGUCAGGUGGGCAGUUUGACUGGGGCGGUCGCCUCCGAAAAGGUAACGGAGGCGCUCAAAGGUUAGCUCAGCACGGACGGAAACCGUGCCUCUGAGUGUAAACGCAAAAGCUAGCCUAACUGCGAGGGUGACGGCCCGAGCAGUAACGAAAGUUGGAGUUAGUGAUCCGGCGGUAUG